GACGAACGCUGGCGGCGUGCUUAACACAUGCAAGUCGAACGGUGAAGCGCCUUCCUUUUUGGUGGGUGUGGAUGAGUGGCGAACGGGUGAGUAACACGUGAGUAACCUGCCCCCUUCUUCUGGAUAACCGCAUGAAAGUGUGGCUAAUACGGGAUAUUCUGGGUCUGUCGCAUGAUGGGUCUGGGAAAGAUAUGGUUUCGGUGGGGGAUGGGCUCGCGGCCUAUCAGCUUGUUGGUGGGGUGAUGGCCUACCAAGGCGGUGACGGGUAGCCGGCCUGAGAGGGUGGACGGUCACACUGGGACUGAGACACGGCCCAGACUCCUACGGGAGGCAGCAGUGGGGAAUAUUGCACAAUGGGCGCAAGCCUGAUGCAGCGACGCCGCGUGAGGGAUGGAGGCCUUCGGGUUGUGAACCUCUUUCGCCAGUGAAGCAGGCCUGCCUCGUUUGUGGGUGGGUUGACGGUAGCUGGAUAAGAAGCGCCGGCUAACUACGUG
rnacentral:rRNA from 1 species